rnacentral:rRNA from 1 species
GAUGAACGCUGGCGGCGUGCCUAAUACAUGCAAGUCGAGCGAACAGACGAGGAGCUUGCUCCUCUGACGUUAGCGGCGGACGGGUGAGUAACACGUGGAUAACCUACCUCUAAGACUGGGAUAACUUCGGGAAACCGGAGCUAAUACCGGAUCAUAUAUUGAACCGCAUGGUUCAAUAGUGAAAGACGGUUUUGCUGUCACUUAUAGAUGGAUCCGCGCCGCAUUAGCUAGUUGGUAAGGUAACGGCUUACCAAGGCGACGAUGCGUAGCCGACCUGAGAGGAUGAUCGGCCACACUGGAACUGAGACACGGUCCAGACUCCUACGGGAGGCAGCAGUAGGGAAUCUUCCGCAAUGGGCGAAAGCCUGACGGAGCAACGCCGCGUGAGUGAUGAAGGUCUUCGGAUCGUAAAACUCUGUUAUUAGGGAAGAACAAAUGUGUAAGUAACUAUGCACGUCUUGACGGUACCUAAUCAGAAAGCCACGGCUAACUACGUG